GGCGGAUGUAGCCAAGUGGGUCAAGG
rnacentral:tRNA from 2 species